rnacentral:lncRNA from 1 species
GCCAAUAGUCACAAGGAAGAAGAAGUAUGGAAUGCAAAUUUUUGAGUCUUGUGGGCCAAUAUUUAUUUAUGCCUUAUCUGUAAGAUAUGCAUUAGUUACUACUGACGCAUAAAAAAAGGCAACACACUAUUAACUACAGAGAAGCAUCAAGUUACGUGUCGCUACAUUUAGCAACUUUCUACCUAAUCAUUGAAUUUUCCAACUGACUAGAUAGCAGAUACCAACACUAUAAUCGGUGUGGCUGAGAAUUUACAAGAUUUAUCAGCUAGAAACAUCAUCAACUUUAAGCCUGUUUAUCUGAUCUGCAAGAACUUGAAUUGGCCUACAACCUUAUUAAGACAUCAAACUUGAAAAUUAUGGACUUGGGCAUUGAUUUUUAUAGCCAUACUCAUCCUCAAAACUCAUUGAAAGCAAACUAGACUUGCCUACGUAAUCAAGUUUGAUGCCCAAGGUGAGACUCCACCCAGUUUCAUUCCUGAAAUUAAUGAUAGUUUCCAAGCAUUGGGAAAAGUUAGCAUGCAAACAAAGAAAACCAUUGAUUUUUAGCAAAUAUUUAGUUGCAAGAAGUAAACUUACUCCAUGAUGCCGUAUUCCCACAAGCAAGCACCAAAAAGAAUUAACUUAAAAUGGUCACAAAAUAAACAGAAGCAUGAACCCGGAAUAACAGAAUAUGCCCCAAAAUGUUCACUAGUUUUCU